UGUACANCCGUUUGGGGCAUCAGAUGGGUAUCGUUGCAAAGUGGUCNCGGCCCAGAACUACGUCUUACAUNUGAUGGGGAGUUCCAUGUAAGUGGURCUCCCCGCAUAAUAGAACAAGCUAUAGAGGGUUAACCGAUUAAUAGGUGUCACACCUAUGCCACAAUACAGCUUGCUUUAACCCCGACCAUNUAAUAGUCGAGGCUCAGCRACUUAAUAAGGCUCGGAAUUCUUGUCAUGGCUCGUUUAUUAUCAGRAUGGUUGACCGGACAGUUCUGCACCCGUGUACACACUGGCUUGGGGAUCGUCGUUUACAAUGUAUUCUUCYUAGACGCCAACUGCCUCCACAUGCACAAGGCCAAUGGGUGGAUAUGACAACUUCGGGUCCUGUAAUUAGAACUGGUCGUAGUGAUCAAUAGGCUACAAUAAUACUCUGUUACUCUGACAUACUAUACAAAGAUGGAACUUAAGAUAAAGUCCAGCUACAUGCGAAAGCAGAUUGGGUCGGUACCUACCAUAUAUAUAUAUAUGGAUAAACGGGAGCCUGCGGCUUAAUUUGACUCAACACGGGGAAACUCACCAGGUCCAGACACAAUAAGGAUUGACAGAUUGAGAGCUCUUUCUUGAUUUUGUGGGUGGUGGUGCAUGGCCGUUCUUAGUUGGUGGAGUGAUUUGUCUGCUUAAUUGCGAUAACGAACGAGACCUUAACCUGCUAAAUAGCCCGGCUAGCUUUGGCUGGUCGCUGGCUUCUUAGAGGGACUAUCGGCUCAAGCCGAUGGAAGUUUGAGGCAAUAACAGGUCUGUGAUGCCCUUAGAUGUCCUGGGCCGCACGCGCGUUACACUGACAGAGCCAACGAGUUCAUCUCCUUGUCCGAAAGGUCUGGGUAAUCUUGUUAAACUCUGUCGUGCUGGGGAUAGAGCAUUGCAAUUAUUGCUCUUCAACGAGGAAUUCCUAGUAAGCGCAAGUCAUCAGCUUGCGCUGAUUACGUCCCUGCCCUUUGUACACACCGCCCGUCGCUACUACCGAUUGAAUGGCUCAGUGAGGCUUUCGGACUGGCCUAGGGAGAGUGGCAACACUCACCCAGGGCCGGAAAGUUGUCCAAACUUGGUCAUUUAUAGG
rnacentral:rRNA from 1 species